AAGGGCACCACAAGAACGCGUGGAGCAUGUGGCUUAAUUUGACUCAACGCGGGAAAUCUUACCGGGUCCGGACACACUGAGGAUUGACAGGCAAUAUUGGAAUGUGCUUUGCGCAUUCCAUGUUAAAUAUGCUAGUCCUUUCAUGAUUAUGUGAUAGGUGGUGCAUGGCCGUUCUUAGUUCGUGGAGUGAUCUGUCUGCUUAAUUGCGUUUCACUAAGGGCUUAUUAAUUACGUGCGCUGCACUCUCUUUGACCCCUCAUUUUUUGAGCGCGUGUCUCAGAUGAUUAUGCUCGCACAAUUAAGUCCUGAAAGCAACGAACGUGACCGCAACCUCUUGUUGCCUUUUGCACAAACCUGCGCUUGAAUUUUUUUUCAUUCGCGGAAAAAGAGGCUAUUAAACUAGAGGGACCGCUGUAAUCUUUUUAAACCAGAGGAAGGUUGCGGCAAUAACAGGUCUGUGAUGCCCUUAGAUGUUCCGGGCUGCACACGUGCUACAAUGAUUAUUGCAGUGAGCAUCUCAUACUAUACACCGCUUGCGCGAAGACUUCUUGUCGCUUUUGGCGUGCAAGUCGUUCUUUUUGCGCGCGGUAAAGCCUGCUUCGAAAGUAAGUGGGUAAUCAAUUAGAAGUAAUGAUUUCCUUUUUUCAGCACACAUAUAUACGGCGUUGUUACCCGGAUCAGGCUUGUCCUUUUCUUUGUGUGUAUCAAUGUUUUUCCGUAUGUGCAAUUGUCAAUUCAUGGUGGGGACAGACCAUUGUUAAUUGUUGGUCUCGGUCUUAACUAGGAAUGCCUUGUACGGGUCUUUGGUUCAACAGACCACCCGGAAUACGUCCCUGCCCUUUGUACACACCGCCCGUCGCUCUUACCGAUGGACUUCUCUGUGAGUUUGAGGGACUGGAAUUUUUGCGCGUCUUUUCGCCAAUACCUCUAUGGAAACUUAAACGAACAGUGUGGUCUAAAGGAAAGAGAAGUCGAACAAGGCA
rnacentral:rRNA from 1 species